CGCGGGCGUACACACGUGCACACACAAGUACGGACAUACACGCGCGCGCGCGCAGGAUACUACAAUGCCCCCUCCCACCUCGUCGAAACGUCACAGUCUCACACACAAAACGCUUUCGGUUUGCUGCAGUGUGACUGGCACGUCCGCGUGCACGUUGGCUUGUUUGGCGAGAGAGGGAGAGAGCGAUUUGGUGCGCGCACGCGCACCGGCAAAAGACUCGCGAAUCAAUCAAAAUGGACAAGUUUUUAUUUUUGAUCGUUUUUUUUUUUUUUUUUUUAUUGAACGGGAACAACAAGCCGCAGCGCCCACUUGCAGGCGACCUGGAUGCCAGAAGACGUCGCAAGUGCUUGGAAGUCAAGACGAAAACAGAGGAGGAAGGAGAGCAAGUUGUGGCCGCUUGCUUUCAGCCAGAAAGUGAACACUUCUGAUCCAGUUAACUGUGGGUAACUCAUUUUGCAUGGACACAAAAUAAAAAACCCUCUCAUAAAAAACAUCUUUGUCAUUAAAUGUGACUUUACAAA